rfam:Amborella trichopoda AMTR_V1.0_contig_30075, whole genome shotgun sequence.
CCCACACCCAUGUAUGUAGGAUCCCUAAUGAUCACUAUUAAAUUUGGCACAGAUCUCAAGAAAAGUUAUCACAUGGGUGUGGAACUUGACUUUUCUAGAGAUCUGUGUCAAAUUUAAUGGUGAUCUUUUAAGGUCCUACACACAUGGGUGUGGG